rnacentral:tRNA from 1 species
GCCGAUGUAGCUCAGCUGGUAGAGCACCUCCAUGGUAAGGAGGUGGUCGUCGGUUCAAUUCCGACCAUCGGCU